rnacentral:rRNA from 1 species
CCUACGCUUGACCUCGAAUUAGGUAAGGAUACCCGCUGAACUUAAGCAUAUCAAUAAGCGGAGGAAAAGAAACCAACAGGGAUUGCCUUAGUAACGGCGAGUGAAGCGGCAACAGCUCAAAUUUGAAAUCUGGCGCUUGCGUCCGAGUUGUAAUUUGCAGAGGAUACUUCGGUGUGGGCGCUGCCCCGAGUUCUUUGGAACAGGACGCCACAGAGGGUGAGAGCCCCGUAUCUGGGCGGCCGUCCACACCAUGUGAAGUGCCUUCGACGAGUCGAGUUGUUUGGGAAUGCAGCUCAAAAUGGGAGGUAAAUUUCUUCUAAAGCUAAAUACCGGCUGGAGACCGAUAGCGCACAAGUAGAGUGAUCGAAAGAUGAAAAGUACUUUGGAAAGAGAGUCAAACAGCGCGUGAAAUUGUUGAAAGGGAAGCGCUUGCAGUUAGACUUGACGGCCCGGUUCGGCGACGCCUCGCGUGUCGCCUACGCCGUGGCCGGCAGGCCAGCAUUGGUUUGGGCGGUUGGAUAAAGGCGGCAGGAAUGUAGCACCUCUCGGGGUGUGUUAGAGCCUGCCGGACAAUACAGCCUGCCCGGACCAAGGAACGCGCUUCGGCUCGGAUGCUGGCGUAAUAGCUGCAAGCGGCCCGUCUUGAAACACGGACCAAGGAGUCUAACAUCUGUGCGAGUGUUUGGGUGUCAAGCCCUUGCGCGCAAUGAAAGUGAACGGAGGUGGGAGCUUCGGCGCACCAUCGACCGAUCCUGAUGUCUUCGGAAGGAUUUGAGUAAGAGCACAGCUGUUGGGACCCGAAAGAUGGUGAACUAUGCCUAAGCAGGGUGAAGCCAGAGGAAACUCUGGUGGAGGCUCGCAGCGGUUCUGACGUGCAAAUCGAUCGUCAAAUUUGGGUAUAGGGGCGAAAGACUAAUCGAACC